rnacentral:rRNA from 1 species
GACGAACGCUGGCGGCGUGCCUAAUACAUGCAAGUCGAGCGAGCGGAACUAACAGAUUUACUUCGGUAAUGACGUUAGGAAAGCGAGCGGCGGAUGGGUGAGUAACACGUGGGGAACCUGCCCCAUAGUCUGGGAUACCACUUGGAAACAGGUGCUAAUACCGGAUAAGAAAGCAGAUCGCAUGAUCAGCUUUUAAAAGGCGGCGUAAGCUGUCGCUAUGGGAUGGCCCCGCGGUGCAUUAGCUAGUUGGUAAGGUAAAGGCUUACCAAGGCGAUGAUGCAUAGCCGAGUUGAGAGACUGAUCGGCCACAUUGGGAAUGAGACACGGCCCAAACUCCUACGGGAGGCAGCAGUAGGGAAUCUUCCACAAUGGACGCAAGUCUGAUGGAGCAACGCCGCGUGAGUGAAGAAGGUUUUCGGAUCGUAAAGCUCUGUUGUUGGUGAAGAAGGAUAGAGGUAGUAACUGGCCUUUAUUUGACGGUAAUCAACCAGAAAGUCACGGCUAACUACGUG